rnacentral:rRNA from 1 species
AUUGAACGCUGGCGGCAGGCCUAACACAUGCAAGUCGAGCGGAUGAAGGGAGCUUGCUCCUGGAUUCAGCGGCGGACGGGUGAGUAAUGCCUAGGAAUCUGCCUGGUCGUGGGGGAUAACGUCCGGACACGGGCGCUAAUACCGCAUACGUCCUGAGGGAGAAAGUGGGGGAUCUUCGGACCUCACGCUAUCAGAUGAGCCUAGGUCGGAUUAGCUAGUUGGUGGGGUAAAGGCCUACCAAGGCGACGAUCCGUAACUGGUCUGAGAGGAUGAUCAGGCACACUGGAACUGAGACACGGUCCAGACUCCUACGGGAGGCAGCAGUGGGGAAUAUUGCACAAUGGGCGAAAGCCUGAUCCAGCCAUGCCGCGUGUGUGAAGAAGGUCUUCGGAUUGUAAAGCACUUUAAGUUGGGAGGAAGGGCUGUAAGUUAAUACCUUGCUGUUUUGACGUUACCAACAGAAUAAGCACCGGCUAACUUCGUG